rnacentral:rRNA from 1 species
AUGUAUAUAAGGAGGCCGGCACAGAGAAGAGGGUUGAAAAAGCCCUUGUGUAUAAAAAAAGCUCCCUCACCAGCGCACCGCCGCCGGUCGGCUCCCUCCCCAGCGCGCCGCCGCCUGGCUCCCUCCCCAGCUCGCCGCUGCCAGGCUCCCUGCCCAGCACGCCACCGGCCCCGGCUCCCUCCCCAGCGCGCCACCGCCAAGCUACCUCCCAGUGCGUCGCCGCCCUAUUCCUUCCCUAGUGUGCCGCCGUCAGGCUUCCUUCCCAGCGCUCUGCCUCCCGUCUUCCUCCCCAGAGGGCCGCUGCCUCCCGGAUCCCUCCCUAGAAGCCACCGCGGUCUGUUCCUGCCGUCGCCGCCCGGACAUCGCCAAGCCCAGGCUGUGCCGCGACACCUCCAUGAAUGCGUGCGGUGCCCCGACUCGAUGGCUUUCGGCCUCCAUCACCGCCGCUCCCCGAACUGCUGUCUGCUGCACGAGCAACACAGUGGGCCGUUCGACUUCCUGCCGCUGGCCGUCCUCCCUGCCGCGGGGCACCUCUCCCCCCUGCACCACCUGUGGCGACCUUCACCUACAAGCUUGGGGCAGAGCUCACCCUUCUCCACAUCCUUUUCCUCUACUAAUUGCAGCCGUUGGCGCCGUGGGUGGCCACAAAUAGAGUUCAGUGUGUAUUUUAAGAAGAAAAACCAACAAUGGCGGCUGCACUGGAGCCACAGGACUACUAUUACUGAUAGGAAAGGAAAAAAAUCCCUCACACCAAAUCUGGAUCGGGUCAAUCAAACCCCGACCCCGAGCGCCAUCAUCUACCACCUUCCCCGGUCGCCGCACCUCCGGCCACCAUCUCCCGACCGCCGCGCCUCCGCCCAUCUUCCCCGGCCACCGCGCCCCCGACCAUCUUCCCCCGGCCGCCGCGCCUCCGGCUACCCUCCUCGGCCACCGCGCCUCCGGCCUCCUCCCUCCACCGUGCCGCGCCUCCGUCCACCUCCCUCCGUCGACGCCGCGCCUCCGGCCACCUUCCCCCAGUCGUCGCUCCUCCGGCCUCCUUCCCUCCACCAGCGUCGCUCCUCCAGCCACCUCCCUCCACCACCACCCCUCGGGCCACCUUCCUCUGCCACCAUUCAGCCUCCGGCCACCUCCCUCCGCCACCAUUCAGCCUUCGGCCACCUCCCUCCGCCACCACCCGCCUCGAGCCACUUCCCUCCUGGCUGCACGCCCCGCGAAGAAGACCCGCCGUUCGCCACCUACUGCUGGCCCAGCUCCUGGAGCCACUACAUCAGCGCACGCAUGUUCAGUUUCGGUUUGAGUUCAACUUCUGCUGUCUGUCCUUUUUUGCGUAUGUUCAGUUCGAUAUCUGGUGGUUCUUCAGACCAACAUAGUGUGCCUUUUCAAUUCAUCUUGCAGGUGAAAAAAGGAGCUCCCCUUUGA